GCCUGCUGAAUAAUAGUCGGUUCCUGGGCAGAAGUGAUGUUUCCCGGGUAUCGGUUUUCAAUCCUUAAAAAUCUUCGUGAAAUAUGAACCAUCCUAUCCCAAAACUAUUGUCCCGUGUAUGGUAGAGUAUUUGUGAUACUUCAGGGCAGUCAUGGCCGAAAGCAGCGACGAACAGAGGGGAAAAUCGAGGAUUUCGACGAUGUUGACGUUCUUAAUAAUAUGUCAUUCUGUGAAAUGGAAAUAUGUAUGUAUUUUACCUGAUUAAAUAUCAUGUAGAUCAUUGACGCGUUUUAUAAUGCAAUUCAUAACAAGCAGUCGUAACACAAUGAUAUAAUAUCGAUCGCUAUGAACAGGACACGCUUGAAUAACGCCAUAUGUUGACAAUUGAUAUGUUGUGCUCAUCGUUCGACGGCAGCGAUGUGGAUACUCUCAAUAUAUCAUUUUCUGAAAUGGACUUGGUAUGUAGAUUUUUGUGGUAAUGGAGAUUCUACAUGCAGACAUUGUGUUAUUAUACUCCAAAGACAAAGAAGCCCAAAGAACAAGCGAAC
rnacentral:lncRNA from 1 species